rnacentral:miRNA from 8 species
GAAACCAAGCAUGGGUGUGGCCU